rnacentral:rRNA from 1 species
UACAGAGGGUGCGAGCGUUAAUCGGAAUUACUGGGCGUAAAGGGCGCGUAGGUGGUUAGAUAAGUUGGUUGUGAAAUCCCCGGGCUUAACCUGGGAACUGCAACCAAAACUGUUUGGCUAGAGUAUGGUAGAGGGAAGUGGAAUUUCCGGUGUAGCGGUGAAAUUCGUAGAUAUUGGGAAGAACACCGGUGGCGAAGGCGGCCAUCUGGACCGCAACUGACGCUGAGGCGCGAAAGCGUGGGGAGCAAACAGG